GAUGAACGCUGGCGGCGUGCCUAACACAUGCAAGUCGAGCGAUCUCUUCGGAGAGAGCGGCGGACGGGUGAGUAACGCGUGGGUAACCUGCCCUGUACACACGGAUAACAUACCGAAAGGUAUGCUAAUACGGGAUAAAAUAUGAAAGUCACAUGACUUUUGUAUCAAAGAUUUAUCGGUACAGGAUGGACCCGCGUCUGAUUAGCUAGUUGGUAAGGUAAUGGCUUACCAAGGCGACGAUCAGUAGCCGACCUGAGAGGGUGAUCGGCCACACUGGAACUGAGACACGGUCCAGACUCCUACGGGAGGCAGCAGUGGGGAAUAUUGCACAAUGGGCGAAAGCCUGAUGCAGCAACGCCGCGUGAGCGAUGAAGGCCUUCGGGUCGUAAAGCUCUGUCCUCAAGGAAGAUAAUGACGGUACUUGAGGAGGAAGCCCCGGCUAACUACGUGCCAGCCGCCGCCGUAAAAC
rnacentral:rRNA from 1 species